UAAUAAUUAUAAUAGAGUAGAUAUAGAAUAAUAUAAUUACCAACAAACAAAACUAAAUUAAAUUAAAGUAAAUAAUAAUAGAUUAAUAAAAUAAUAACUAGGAUACAUGAUAAGCUUGGUUAACAAACAAGAACAAAUUCGGUCAACUAACAUCAUUAUUGUAGAAACGUGAAGCUAGACGAAUAAAAAGUUGGAUGAUAUAUAUAUAUCAAACAAUUCCUAUUGCUUGACGUGCAAACUACUAAGACGAUUUGAGUUUAAUUUAAUCUAUGAAAAAGAGAUUCAAUACUGGCGUAGCGUUACCAAAGUAUCGGAUAAAACUUAAGCGGUGAGAGUUCAUAUUUUAUAGCAAACAAAAAAUGUACAUUUAAUAGUAGAAUUAGAGCCCGUGUUAUUUACGGUUAUAAAAAGAAAAUUAGAAAAAGAGAGAUAUAACUUACUUUAUAAAAUAUAAACUAAAAAGAUGCAUAGUUUAACAGAAGAAUUAUAGUCCGUGUUGUUAUAAAAAAAAAUCUGAAAUUCAGAUAAAGAGAGAGAUAUAACUUACUUUCUAAACUAAAUUGCGAAUAAUGAAGAUCAAAUUCAAAUGGAUC
rnacentral:lncRNA from 1 species